UACGGGGGGGGCAAGCGUUGUUCGGAAUUACUGGGCGUAAAGGGCUCGUAGGCGGCCAACUAAGUCAGACGUGAAAUCCCUCGGCUUAACCGGGGAACUGCGUCUGAUACUGGAUGGCUUGAAUCCGGGAGAGGGAUGCGGAAUUCCAGGUGUAGCGGUGAAAUGCGCAGAUAUCGGGAGGAACACCAAUUGCGAAGGCAGCUCGCUGGGACGUCACUGACGCUGAGACGCGAAAGCGUGGGGAGCAAACAGG
rnacentral:rRNA from 1 species